GCAUAACGCGAAGAACCUUACCAAGGCUUGACAUCUAAAGAAUCUAAUAGAGAUAUUGGAGUGCCCCGAAAGGGGAGCUUUAAGACAGGUGGUGCAUGGUUGUCGUCAGCUCGUGCCGUGAGAUGUUAGGUUAAGUCCUGCAACGAGCGCAACCCCUGCCUUUAGUUGCUAACAUUAAGUUGAGCACUCUAAAGGGACUGCUAAGGUUAACUUAGAGGAAGGUGGGGAUGACGUCAAAUCAUCAUGCCCUUUAUGCCUUGGGCAACACACGUGCUACAAUGGCCGGUACAAAGAGAAGCAAUACCGCGAGGAGGAGCAAACCUUAAAAAACCGGUCCCAGUUCGGAUUGCAGGCUGCAACUCGCCUGCAUGAAGCUGGGGGUUGCUAGUAAUCGUGAAUCAGCAUGUCACGGUGAAUACGUUCCCGGGUCUUGUACACACCG
rnacentral:rRNA from 1 species